rnacentral:rRNA from 1 species
GAUGAACGCUGGCGGCAUGCCUAAGACAUGCAAGUCGAACGAGAUGGCCCAGUGAAGGUUGAGUGCUUGCACGAGACUGAAUCUGGAUUCCCAUCUAGUGGCAGACGGGUGAGUAACACGUGGGUGACCUACCUUUUCGUUGGGGAUAACAGUUGGAAACGAUUGCUAAUACCGAAUAAAAUGUAAGAGUCAAUUUUACAUUGAAAGGAGCCUUUAAAGCUUCGCGAUUAGAUGGGCCUGCGGCGUAUUAACUAGUUGGUGAGGUAAUGGCUUACCAAGGUGACGAUGCGUAGCCGAACUGAGAGGUUGAUCGGCCACAUUGGGACUGAGACACGGGCCCAAAACUCCUACGGGGAGACAGCAGUUAGGAAUAUUCGUCAAUGGAGGAAACUCUGAACGAGCAAUGCCGCGUGAGUGAUGAAGGUCUUAUAGAUUGUAAAACUCUGUUGUAUGGAAAAAACGGCUAGGUUAGGAAAUGAACUUAGUGUGAUGGUACCA